rnacentral:rRNA from 1 species
AAUAGCGUAUAUUAAAGUUGUUGCAGUUAAAAAGCUCGUAGUUGGAUUUCUGGUGGGAGCGAUCGGUCUGGCGCUUAGCGCGAGUACUUGCAUCGUCUCCGGCCAUCCUUGGGGAGAGUCUGUCUGGCAUUAAGUUGUCGGGCAGAGGAUCCUCAUCGUUUACUGUGAAAAAAUUAGAGUGUUCAAAGCAGGCUUAUGCCGUUGAAUAUAUUAGCAUGGAAUAAUAAGAUAGGACUUUGGUACUAUUUUGUUGGUUUGCGCACCAAAGUAAUGAUUAAUAGGGACAGUUGGGGGUAUUCGUAUUCCGUUGUCAGAGGUGAAAUUCUUGGAUUUACGGAAGACGAACUACUGCGAAAGCAUUUACCAAGGAUGUCUUCAUUAA